CUGCUUUUUAGCAGCACUUAUACUCAACUUGGAACAAUACAGAGAAGGGUAUGAAGGACCCUGCACAAGGAUGGAUGGCAAAUUCCUGAAGUGUUCCAUAUUUAA